CAGUCGCCGCGGGAAUACGAAGGGUGCAAGCGUUAAUCGGAAUUACUGGGCGUAAGGCGUGCGUAGGCGGUGAGUUAAGUCUGCUGUGAAAUCCCCGGGCUCAACCUGGGAAUGGCAGUGGAUACUGGCUCGCUAGAGUGUGUCAGAGGAUGGUGGAAUUCCCGGUGUAGCGGUGAAAUGCGUAGAGAUCGGGAGGAACAUCAGUGACGAAGGCGGCCAUCUGGGACAACACUGGCGCUGAGGCACGAAAGCGUGGGGAGCAAACAGGAUUAGAUACCCCUGUAGUCCCUGUCUCUUAUAC
rnacentral:rRNA from 1 species